ACUUCAGGACGGGGACAACAGUUGGAAACGACUGCUAAUACCCGAUGUGCCGCAAGGUGAAACCUAAUUGGCCUGAAGAAGAGCUUGCGUCUGAUUAGCUAGUUGGUGGGGUAAGAGCCUACCAAGGCGACGAUCAGUAGCUGGUCUGAGAGGAUGAGCAGCCACACUGGGACUGAGACACGGCCCAGACUCCUACGGGAGGCAGCAGUGGGGAAUUUUCCGCAAUGGGCGAAAGCCUGACGGAGCAACGCCGCGUGAGGGAGGAAGGUCUUUGGAUUGUAAACCUCUUUUCUCAAGGAAGAAGUUCUGACGGUACUUGAGGAAUCAGCCUCGGCUAACUCCGUGCCAGCAGCCGCGGUAAUACGGGGGAGGCAAGCGUUAUCCGGAAUUAUUGGGCGUAAAGCGUCCGCAGGUGGUCAGCCAAGUCUGCCGUCAAAUCAGGUUGCUUAACGACCUA
rnacentral:rRNA from 1 species